ensembl:lncRNA
GUGGAAAGGGAGCCCUCCAUUCCUUGUAACCAUGUGUAGUAUUUAUUAGGCACCAGCUGUGUGCCAGCCCCCCAGCUAGGCCUUUGUUCAUAUUGCCUUCAAUCCUCACAUAACUCUGCAAGAUGAAUGGGCCUAUGUGUUAUAGACGGGCUUCCAAAGCUCUGAGCAGCCCCACAGCUCCAGAAUGGAAGAACUGGGACCAUGGCCAGGCCCUGAGAGCACCUUCUCCAACUCCUCUGAAGAGAAGCCAGAGUUGCAAAGGCAGCUUGGACCAAGAUCCUCUGCAGAACCAUACUACCAAGACCAUUCACAAACAAAGCAGCAAGAGAUUCUAGCGGAAGACGUUAACCCUGGAGGCCUGAUUGUGAGAAGACAGAGGCGGAGCGAUGACAACAAAGAUGCUGGAUCAAGCUGCACCUGAAACCAUCCACCCAAAGAUCACAUGAAACUCCCUUCCCUCUAGCACC